rnacentral:rRNA from 1 species
GAUGAACGCUAGCGGCAGGCCUAACACAUGCAAGUCGAGGGAGAAGCCCUUUCGGGGGCCGAAACCGGCGCACGGGUGCGUAACGCGUAUGCAACCUACCUUUCACAGGGGGAUAGCCCGAAGAAAUUUGGAUUAAUACCCCAUAAUAUUAUUGGAUGGCAUCAUUUGAUAAUUAAAACUGCGGUGGUGAAAGAUGGGCAUGCGUCCUAUUAGCUAGUUGGAGUGGUAACGGCACCCCAAGGCUACGAUAGGUAGGGGUCCUGAGAGGGAGAUCCCCCACACUGGUACUGAGACAGGGACCAGACUCCUACGGGAGGCAGCAGUGAGGAAUAGUGGGCAAUGGUCGGAAGACUGAACCAGCCAUGCCGCGUGCAGGAAGAAUGCCUUAUGGGUUGUAAACUGCUUUUAUAUGGGAAGAAUAAGGUGUACGUGUACAUUGAUGACGGUACCAUAUGAAUAAGCAUCGGCUAACUCCGUG